rnacentral:misc_RNA from 1 species
GAUGAAGAACGCAGCGAAAUGCGAUAAGUAGUGUGAAUUGCAGAAUUCAGUGAAUCAUCGAAUCUUUGAACGCACCUUGCGCCUUUUGGUAUUCCGAAAGGCAUGCCUGUUUGAGUGUCAUGAAACAUCAAUCCCGUCGGGUUUCCGACUGGAUUGGAUUUGGGUGUUGCCGUUUGGCUCACCUUGAAAAUGUUAGCGGGUCCGUGCGCUCGAAUCGACGUAAUAAGUUUCGUCGUGUAGAGUUUAUCGUCCGCUCCUAAUCGCCUUUGGGCAACUUUUGUACUCUGACCUCAAAUCAGGUAGGGCUACCCGCUGAACUUAAGCAUAUCAAUAAGCGGAGGA